ACGCGAAGAACCUUACCAGGGCUUGACAUGUCACAAANNNNCCUGAAAGGGAAGAGUGCCUUCGGGAAUGUGAACACAGGUGGUGCAUGGCUGUCGUCAGCUCGUGUCGUGAGNUGUUGGGUUAAGUCCCGCAACGAGCGUAACCCUUGUCUUUAGUUGCCAUCAUUUAGUUGGGCACUUUAAAGAGACUGCCGGUGAUAAACCGGAGGAAGGUGAGGACGACGUCAAGUCAGCAUGCCCCUUACGCCCUGGGCUACACACGUACUACAAUGGCCGAGACAAAGAGUCGCAAGUUUGCAAAGACAAGCUAAUCUCAUAAACUCGGUCUCAGUUCGGAUUGUAGGCUGCAACUCGCCUACAUGAAGUUGGAAUCGCUAGUAAUCGCCGGUCAGCUAUACGGCGGUGAAUCCGUUCCCGGGCCUUGUACACACCGCCCGUCACACCAUGGAAGCUGUUCAUGCCCAAAGUCGUUACCUUAACCGCAAGG
rnacentral:rRNA from 1 species